UGGGGAAUAUUGCACAAUGGGCGGAAGCCUGAUGCAGCAACGCCGCGUGAGGGACGACGGCCUCGGGUUGUAAACCUCUUUAGCAAGGAAGAAGCGAAAGUGACGGUACUUGCAGAAAAAGCGCCGGCUAACUACGUGCCAGCGCCGCGGUAAUACGUAGGGCGCAAGCGUUAUCCGGAAUUAUUGGGCGUAAAGAGCUCGUAGGCGGUUUGUCGCGUCUGCUGUGAAAAACCCGAGGCUCAACCUCGGGCCUGCAGUGGGUACGGGCAGACUAGAGUGCGGUAGGGAGAUGAACUCCUGGUGUAGCGGUGGAAUGCGCAGAUAUCAGGAAGAACACCGAUGGCGAAGGCAGAUCUCUGGGCCGUAACUGACGCUGAGGAGCGAAAAGGGUGGGGAGCAAAACAGGCUUAGAUACCCUGGUAGUCCACCCGCUAAAACGUUGGGAACUAGUUGUGGGGNCCAUUCCACGGAUUCCGUGACGCAGCU
rnacentral:rRNA from 1 species